rnacentral:rRNA from 1 species
AGAGUUUGAUCCUGGCUCAGGAUGAACGCUAGCGGCAUGCUUAACACAUGCAAGUCGAACGAGGAUCAGAUAGCUUGCUAACUGGUCCUAGUGGCGGACGGGUGAGUAACGCGUAAGAAUCUGCCCCUAGGAGAGGGAUACCAACUGGAAACGGUUGUUAAUACCUCAUAUGCUGAGGAGUAAAAUGGUUUCAUACCGCCUAGGGAUGAGCUUGCGUCUGAUUAGCUAGUUGGUGGGGUAAUGGCCUACCGAGGCAAUGAUCAGUAGCUGGUCUGAGAGGACAAUCAGCCACACUGGGACUGAGACACGGCCCAGACUCCUACGGGAGGCAGCAGUGAGGAAUUUUCCGCAAUGGGCGAAAGCCUGACGGAGCAAUGCCGCGUGGAGGAAGACGGCCCGUGGGUUGUAAACUCCUUUUCUUGGAGAAGAAUAACUGACGGUAUCCAAGGAAUAAGCAUCGGCUAACUCCGUGCCAGCAGCCGCGGUAAUACGGAGGAUGCAAGCGUUAUCCGGAUUCAUUGGGCGUAAAGGGUCCUGAGGUGGCCUGUUUAGUCUACUGUGAAAGCUCAGGGCUUAACCCUGACAAUGCGGUGGAAACUGGCAGGCUAGAAUACGGUAGGGGCAAGGGGAAUUCCCAGUGUAGCGGUGAAAUGCAUAGAUAUUGGGAGGAACACCAAAGGCGAAGGCACCUUGCUGGGCCGCUAUUGACACUGACAGACGAAAGCCAGGGGAGUAACCCGGAUUAGAUACCCGGCUAAUCCUGGCUGUAAACGAUGGACACUAAGUGUUGAACGAUUCAAACGUUCAGUGCUGCAGCUAACGCGUUAAGUGUCCCGCCUGGGGAGUAUGCUCGCAAGGGUGAAACUCAAAGGAAUUGACGGGGGCCCGCACAAGCGGUGGAGCAUGUGGUUUAAUUCGAUGCAACGCGAAGAACCUUACCAGAACUUGACAUGCCACUCAGUCUCUUGAAGGAGAGAUGUAUCCUGUAACCUCACAGAGGUUACAGAAGGUCAUGCAAAGUGACAAAGUGAGCAAUGUGAAGCAAUCAAGGCCUUGAUCAAUGUAAUUGAUGAUGAGGGGGCCCCUCCAAAGCCUAUUGCACUAGCGCAAACAAAAAGAGUUGCACAAAUCAGAAAGAAUAGUUAAAAUAGUAUUUGUGGAAACAAAAAAGUAAGUAUUUCUACUCAAGUAGCACAUUAGUGUAAGACAGGGAUGUAGCGCAGUUUGGUAGCGCUCCUGUUUUGGGAACAGGAGGUCGCAGGUUCAAAUCCUGUCAUCCCUACACAUAAACAAUU